UACAGAGGGGGCAAGCGUUAUUCGGAAUUAUUGGGCGUAAAGGGCGCGUAGGCGGCAUGGCAAGUGGAUGGUGAAAUCCCUCGGCUUAACCGAGGAACUGCCGUCCAAACUGCUUCGCUUGAGACCGGGAGAGGUGAGUGGAAUUCCCAGUGUAGCGGUGAAAUGCGUAGAUAUUGGGAGGAACACCAGUGGCGAAGGCGGCUCACUGGACCGGUACUGACGCUGAGACGCGAAAGCGUGGGGAGCAAACAGG
rnacentral:rRNA from 1 species